UACGAAGGGGGCUAGCGUUGUUCGGAAUUACUGGGCGUAAAGCGCGCGCUGGCGGCUAUCCAAGUCAGUGGUGAAAGCCCGGAGCUCAACUCCGGAACUGCCAUUGAAACUGUUUAGCUUGAGGACGAGAGAGGUGAGUGGAAUUCCCAGUGUAGAGGUGAAAUUCGUAGAUAUUGGGAAGAACACCGGUGGCGAAGGCGGCUCACUGGCUCGUAUCUGACGCUCAGGCGCGACAGCGUGGGGAUCAAACAGG
rnacentral:rRNA from 1 species